UAAACUUUAUAAAUAAAGAUAAAAAUAUAUUUUAAAGCUAUCACAGAGAUUUUCGGUAUUAAAACCACAAUUCUCGAUGCUAUUUGAAGGUAGGCUCCAAUUUGAUUGUUUAGAGCCUAGGCUCUAUACAAACCGCACCUUAUAUAUAUAUGGAAAAAGAUGUGCUUGGCCGUCUCGCUCGUAGCAUUCAGGUGUGCCCAACGGCACUGAUUUAACUUUUGAGUUUGGAGGGUAAGGAUGCCAUCCUGUGGGGAGUUGGUUUGAAAGUUAACAAAAAAAUUUAAUCCCGUGGAUAGUGACACCCACAGAGAAAUCGGUACGAGUACUCCCUCUCCUUUCGCUCUCUGCGUAUUCUCUCUCCUCUUGCUCUCUCUACGUAUUCUCUCUCCUCUCGCUGCAUAUUCUCUCUCCUCCGCAUAGCAGCUUAUCCCUGCUAAAACAAGCUCUCUUCUUGCUGCUACCAUUUGUCCCUGCUCCUCAAACCCGUGUAUCUUGCACAGAAGCUCUCUCCCUCUCAAGAUUUUGUGCUGCAGAAAGUGAAAGCUGCAAAUGAUUUAAAAGAUAACCCAUUGGUGGAAACAUGAGGCAAUUGUGUUAGCAGUCAAUGGCUAGAACUUGUAUCUCAAGUAAUAGACUUCGGAUUAUUUGCUGCAACUUGUAAAAUACCUUUUGGGAUCCUUUGUAUUUGAUUGGUACUCUAUCCAUAGUUUUGGUACUAUUGUUUUCUACGCCUUUAACUAGAUUGACAGAACUCAAUAUAAGCAUUGUAGCAUUUUUUCAUGGCUGUGUCUAUUGAAGUCCCGAAAUUAUGUAUAUUGGUCUGGAGACAAUUUUUUCUUUUUGGGAGAAGUAUAUGGUUGUUUUGUUACUCUACUACUUUUGGGUAAUGCUCUUAUAGUGUUAAUUUUGGGCUGAA